rnacentral:rRNA from 1 species
UAAUUGAAGAGUUUGAUCAUGGCUCAGAUUGAACGCUGGCGGCAGGCCUAACACAUGCAAGUCGGGCGGUAACAGGGAGAAGCUUGCUUCUCCGCUGACGAGCGGCGGACGGGUGAGUAAUGUAUGGGGAUCUGCCUGAUGGCGGGGGAUAACUACUGGAAACGGUAGCUAAUACCGCAUAAUGUCUACGGACCAAAGCGGGGGACCUCCGGGCCUCGCGCCAUCAGAUGAACCCAUAUGGGAUUAGCUGGUAGGU